AACGAACGCUGGCGGCGUGCUUAACACAUGCAAGUCGAACGAAGUAGCAAUACUUAGUGGCGCACGGGUGAGUAACACGUGGGAAUCUGCCUGAUAGUGGGGGAUAACAGUUGGAAACGACUGCUAAUACCGCAUAACCUCGAGAGAGAAAAGAUUUAUCGCUAUCAGAUGAGCCCGCGCCUGAUUAGGUAGUUGGUGGGGUAAUGGCCUACCACGCCUACGAUCAGUAGCCGGUCUGAGAGGACGAUCGGCCACACUGGGACUGAGACACGGCCCAGACUCCUACGGGAGGCAGCAGUGGGGAAUUUUGGACAAUGGGCGAAAGCCUGAUCCAGCGACGCCGCGUGAAUGAUGAAGGCUUUCGGGUUGUAAAGUUCUUUUGGCAGGGAAGAUAGUGACGGUACCUGCAGAAUAAGCUCCGGCAAACUCUAUGCCAGCCGCCGCCGUAA
rnacentral:rRNA from 1 species